rnacentral:rRNA from 1 species
AACGUAGGAGACAAACGUUAUCCGGAGUUACUGGGCGUAAAGGGCGUGUAGGUGGUAGAGUAAGUCUGGCGUGAAAUUUUUCGGCUUAACCGGGAAAGGUCGUCGGAUACUGCUUAACUAGAGGACGGUAGAGGCGUGUGGAAUUCCGGGUGUAGUGGUGAAAUGCGUAGAGAUCCGGAGGAACACCAGUGGCGAAGGCGACACGCUGGGCCGUACCUGACACUGAUGUGCGACAGCAUGGGGAGCAAACAGG